rnacentral:rRNA from 1 species
GACGAACGCUGGCGGCGUGCUUAACACAUGCAAGUCGAACGAAGAGCGAUGGAAGCUUGCUUCUAUCAAUCUUAGUGGCGAACGGGUGAGUAACGCGUAAUCAACCUGCCCUUCAGAGGGGGACAACAGUUGGAAACGACUGCUAAUACCGCAUACGAUCUAAUCUCGGCAUCGAGGAAAGAUGAAAGGUGGCCUCUAUUUAUAAGCUAUCACUGAAGGAGGGGAUUGCGUCUGAUUAGCUAGUUGGAGGGGUAACGGCCCACCAAGGCGAUGAUCAGUAGCCGGUCUGAGAGGAUGAACGGCCACAUUGGGACUGAGACACGGCCCAGACCCUACGGGAGGCAGCAGUGGGGAAUCUUCCGCAAUGGACGAAAGUCUGACGGAGCAACGCCGCGUGAGUGAUGACGGCCUUCGGGUUGUAAAGCUCUGUUAAUCGGGACGAAAGGCCUUCUUGCGAACAGUUAGAAGGAUGACGGUAC